rnacentral:lncRNA from 1 species
CGCUUCUGCCACCUGGAGAAUUACUGCAUUGUGACUGGUCCAUGUCAGCAAAGCGGAGGUGCAAGUGUGAAUGGAGACACAAGGAUCACCACAUCAGCACAGUCCAUGUGGAAGGGCUCGGAUAGGAGGUGACAAUGACUGGGCGACCGACGUGGCCCUUCUCGAUCACUCGUGGAUGACACCUUGCCCCUUCCAGUGAAUUUUUCAUUGAUUCAUAUGUUACAUGUACAUCCAUUUCGUUUCAUCCGUUGGGGUGGAGGGGUUCCAGUGAUGGAUUUUGCAAUAUUGAUAUCAGUUGUUUUGAAACAUUUGUUUGUAUACCAGAAUCAGGAGAUAAUUUCUCAAAAGUGGUGGAAUUGACCCACACUUGCUGUAUUUUUUUUUUUUUUUCCUGGAAAUUUAAAAAAUUAUUUUUGAAUUAAA